rnacentral:rRNA from 1 species
CCUUGUCGGGUAAGUUCCGACCUGCACGAAUGGUGUAACGACUUGGCCGCUGUCUCAGCGAGUGGCUCGGUGAAAUUGUAGUACCGGUGAAGAUGCCGGUUACCCGCAGCUAGACGGAAAGACCCCGUGAACCUUUACUGUAGCUUGGCAUUGGAUUUUGGUGUAGUUUGUGUAGGAUAGGUGGGAGGCUGUGAAGCGGGAGCGCUAGUUUCCGUGGAGCCAUCCUUGAAAUACCACCCUUUCUUCACUGGAAUUCUAACCCGGACCUGUGAAGCCAGGUCGGGGACAAUGUCAGGUGGGCAGUUUGACUGGGGCGGUCGCCUCCUAAAGCGUAACGGAGGCGCCCAAAGGUUCCCUCAGCACGGUCGGCAAUCGUGCGUCGAGUGCAAAGGCAUAAGGGAGCUUAACUGCGAGACCUACAAGUCAAGCAGGUGCGAAAGCAGGGCUUAGUGAUCCGGUGGUCCCGAGUGGAAGGGCCAUCGCUCAACGGAUAAAAGGUACUCCGGGGAUAACAGGCUUAUCUCCCCCAAGAGUCCACAUCGACGGGGAGGUUUGGCACCUCGAUGUCGGCUCAUCGCAUCCUGGGGCUGAAGCAGGUCCCAAGGGUUGGGCUGUUCGCCCAUUAAAGCGGUACGCGAGCUGGGUUUAGAACGUCGUGAGACAGUUCGGUCCCUAUCUGCUGCGGGCGUAGGAGAUUUGCGGGGAUCUGUCCCUAGUACGAGAGGACCGGGAUGGACGAACCUCUAGUGUGCCAGUUGUUCUGCCAAGGGCAUCGCUGGGUAGCUAUGUUCGGAAGGGAUAAACGCUGAAAGCAUCUAAGUGCGAAGCCCACCCCAAGAUGAGAUCUCCCGGGCGCAAGCCCCUAAAGACCCCUUGUAGAUCACAAGGUUGAUAGGCCAGAUGUGUAAGCGCAGGAAUGCGUUCAGCUUACUGGUACUAAUCGGUCGUGCGGCUUGACCCC